rnacentral:rRNA from 1 species
GUAGGUGGCAAGCGUUGUCCGGAAUUAUUGGGCGUAAAGCGCGCGCAGGCGGUUCUUUAAGUCUGAUGUGAAAGCCCACGGCUCAACCGUGGAGGGUCAUUGGAAACUGGAGAACUUGAGUACAGAAGAGGAAAGCGGAAUUCCACGUGUAGCGGUGAAAUGCGAAGAGAUGUGGAGGAACACCAGUGGCGAAGGCGGCUUUCUGGUCUGUAACUGACGCUGAGGCGCGAAAGCGUGGGGAGCAAACAGGGAUUAGAUACCCUGGUAGUCCACGCCGUAAACGAUGAGUGCUAAGUGUUAGGGGGGUUUCCGCCCCCUUAGUGCUGCAGCUAACGCAUUAAGCACUCCGCCUGGGGAUACGGCCGCAAGGCUG